rnacentral:rRNA from 1 species
GACGAACCGUGCGAACGUUGUUCGGAAUCACUGGGCUUAAAGGGCGCGUAGGCGGGCUGUCAAGUCUGGGGUGAAAUGCCGCGGCUCAACCGUGGAACUGCCUUAGAUACUGACGGCCUCGAGGGAGAUAGGGGCAUGCGGAACUGUAGGUGGAGCGGUGAAAUGCGUUGAUAUCUACAGGAACUCCGGUGGCGAAAGCGGCGUGCUGGAUCUCUUCUGACGCUGAGGCGCGAAAGCCUAGGGGAGCAAACGGG